GACGAACGCUGGCGGCGUGCCUAAUACAUGCAAGUCGAACGCAGUGGGGACGGGUGAGUAACACGUGGGUAACCUCCCAUCAGAGGGGAUAACACUUGGAAACAGGUGCUAAACCGAUACUGAUGGAUGGACCCGCGGUGCAUUACCUAGUUGGUGAGGUAACGGCGCACCAAGGCCACGAUGCAUAGCCGACCUGAGAGUGUGCUAGGCCACACUGGGACUGGGACACGGCCCAGACGCCUACGGGAUGCAGCAGUAGGAAAUCUUCGGCAAUGGGCGAAAGUCUGACCGAGCAACGCCGCGUGACUGAAGAAGGUUUUCGGCUCGUAAAACACUUUUGUUAGAGAAGCUGGAUCUAACCAGAAAGCCACGGCUAACUACGUGCCAGCAGCCGCGGUAAUUC
rnacentral:rRNA from 1 species